CUACGGGGCGCUCCAGUGGGGAAUAUUGCACAAUGGGCGCAAGCCUGAUGCAGCCAUGCCGCGUGUAUGAAGAAGGCCUUCGGGCUGUAAAGUACUUUCAGCGGGGAGGAAGGGAGUAAAGUUAAUACCUUUGCUCAUUGACGUUACCCGCAGAAGAAGCACCGGCUAACUCCGUGCCAGCAGCCGCGGUAAUACGGAGAGUGCAAGCGUUAAUCGGAAUUACUGGGCGUAAAGCGCACGCAGGCGGUUUGUUAAGUCAGAUGUGAAAUCCCCGGGCUCAACCUGGGAACUGCAUCUGAUACUGGCAAGCUUGAGUCUCGUAGAGGGGGGUAGAAUUCCAGGUGUAGCGGUGAAAUGCGUAGAGAUCUGGAGGAAUACCGGUGGCGAAGGCGGCCCCCUGGACGAAGACUGACGCUCAGGUGCGAAAGCGUGGGGAGCAAACAGGAUUAGAUACCCUCGUAGUC
rnacentral:rRNA from 1 species